rnacentral:misc_RNA from 1 species
UACUUCCUUUGUGAUGCAAUC